rnacentral:miRNA from 1 species
UAGGUUGGUACAAAAGUAAUUGCGGUUUUUGCCAUUGAAAGUAAAGCAAACUUUCAAUGGCAAAAACCGCAAUUACUUUUGCACCAACCCAAUAC